UCUCUCUCUCCAACAGAAGUUAGUCAAUAAAAGAUAAUACCUCACCCACCUUCUCUCUCUAGCACUCAUGGUGAGCUUUUGUAACACCUGCAAGUAAAAUAGAACCUGCUAAUAGUGAAGUCUGAUUCGCUGAACCUCAAUUAAUUAUGUUCCUUUAUGUCAUGAGUCCUCAUGCUGCUCAGUGUCCUGAAUUAAAUAUUCUGAUUCAGCAGGAGCAUUUGAAGGUGAGAAGCAUUGUGUGCUUUCCCAUAUUAGUUAGAAAGACCUUUUAAUUGUCUCUUUCAGAAAGGCUAUACAAUCAAUUGUCAACAGUUAUAAUCAACCUCAUUAAUGCCUUGACCAUGAAAUAACUUCAGCCCAAAGUCACUUGAGUUAAUAUUUAAUUGGUGGAUGUUCGGUUAAUGUAAACCAGCACCUGAAUAAGGUACUCCAUCUAUCUUUGGCCCCUCCAAAGCUUGUAUUUCAUGUCUUUAUUUGUUGAUAUAAUAAAACAUACCAUGUCUUUUGUCUACUGGACUUUAUAACUUUGAGAUUACCUUAUUGUAUUCUGGUUUGUUUACUGGGAUACAAAACAAGCAGCACAAUUACUUUUUAUUCAAAUUUACUUCCAUUAGUAUUCAGAAAUCUACUUCCUGGAAUUCUUAAACAAAUAUUUCACCAAGGAAACUUUGAUGUAAGGCCUUACCCAUCUGAGACAUGUCAACACUGAUCUGAAAGCUAAAACAUGGCUGGAAAGAGGCAGAAUGUGUAGAUUAACAAUACUGCAGCAUUUGAAGUAAGGUACCUUGAUGUUUUACAUUAUGAAUGUGCUAUGAUGUGCGAAUUCUCAUAGUAAAUUCAAAUGCUGCAGUUUAACAAUCUUUUUCUGAGAUCAGUAUUUGUUUGACACUUAGGGGUUGGGGCCCAGCUAAGGCUUUUCAUUUGUAGAAAUAAUUUGUGCCUGAAUACAAUGGCUGCUACAUGAUUUGCACCUGCAAACAACUAUCUGAGAGAGAGAGACCACCUUUGUGGUGCCUUGGCACUUAAGAAUUACUGAAACAUUCAAGUUGAUGUUUCCCUAGUUUAAAAGAAAGGGGGCAGCUAACUGGCCAUUUUUAGUGAGAGGUCCUUGACCCUGGAACUUGCUGCCCUGUUGGUGUCUUGUUACCAGAUUCUAUGAAGCUGCUCUGCUCUUCCCCUUUUGAGGAGGGGAUGUGAUAGAAAAGGUUUAACCAGAACUGUGGUGGCGUGUGAUUUUAAUGCUGAUUUUUUUUUUUUAAUGGGUGAGGGGGAAGGAGGAGUUAAUUAUUUAAGUAGUAAGAGUUGUAAAUGGUUUUAUAUUCUUGUUAUAGUUAUGCUAAGAAAGUUGGAUGGAUGCAAUUAAAACCAUGAAUAAAAUUAAAAAUAAAUAAUUUUGUGAAACAUUCCUGUCUUCAGUGGGCUUUGGAUCAGGACCUAAGGACAGAUCUGUAUGUUCUUUGCUUGGCCUUGAGAAAUGUAAUUGCCAAAUCAAUUUAAUUAAACCAAUAUUAAUAUUUUUAAAAGGGUUUCAACCUGUUCAUGUAAAACUUAAGUAAACAUUUGUCAAAUAACAAAUACAAAACUGUUUGCCAAUGCGUAAGUACAUGAAACACUUAAAACUUGGUACCUCUGUCGUAUAUUUGAGCACUAACCAUCUUAAUGGGCCUCUUACUGGAUUUCCAAGUAUUUAUUUUUACAGGGCAUAUAAAUAUCCUUUGAAAGAUUUAGUUUCAAAAUUUAGAAAACUGUUAGAUUAGUUUAGUUUUCACCCACACACACUUAUUGUACAAAUGUCCACUCCCUUGCAUCUGUACACACACCCAAGGCAUUCAAACACCAUUCUUAGUUCCAAUUAUAAGUAUUGGAGUAUGUAAUGCAGCAUGAUCUGGUAGAAAAUGGAAGAGCAAAGGCAAAAAUUUUUUUUGUAAAAUCUAAUGUUGUUAAAAGAAUAUGAUCUUUGCUACCACCCCAGGACUGACCUGUGUAGGAAAUCCAGGGCAUCUCUUGGAUAAAACGAAGAACUGAACCUUAAUUUUUUGCAAGUUUACGUGUGAGACUUUGGACAUUCUAACAACACAUAAAAAGUAAUUUAUUUUAUUCAUAUACCAAGAAUUAGAGUCCCCUUUCCUCACAUUCUUGGUUGAAGAAGCAAAACCUGCAGUAAACCAAUUUUUUUCCCUCUGCACAUACUUAAACCUUGGUUUGAGGUGAGAAGCAUGCUUUAUCUGGAUUCAGUAGGCAGCUCUUAUACUGUCAUUUUGGCUAAUAUUAUACUGCAUAUACAUUGUUUUUAGCAUAGUCAAGAACAGUCAGGUGCCUCAAUUUUUACCUUUCAUACAAAAGAUGAAUGGACAUUUUUGCUUUUAAUCUCCAGUUACACAAAGCCCACGUGGGUGUCUUUUACACACAGAAGAAGCAUACUAAUCCUACUUUAAAUUAUAUUUACUAAUUAAUAUUCAAUGACUUAUCUCCACCAAAUAGCAGACUCUCUCAACACCAUCUAUUUCUUGCUACCAUAUGAAGUGCACAGGGGAAAAUAUUUUAAAAUAUAUUUAAAUUCCCCAGCAAGCAGCUGCAUAUCUCAGAAUUACCGACACCUAUUCAGCUCUAAUACAGACCCAUUGUAGAACCAGGUAAGGAAUAUAGGUCUAGAUUUUUACAAUUAUUUGGGUGCUGUUCUGCUCAGUGUUACAAUGUGCAAGUCCCGAAGCCUGUGUCACUUUUUAAAAUGAGACUUGGGCUCCUAAGUCAGUUAGGUAUUGCAAGGCUGAGCAGAGCAACAUUUAAAUAGCUCUUAAAAUCUGAGUUUUCUGUUUUGAUUAACAAGAUUUUUUUUUUCCUGCCAGGAAGAAAGCAGGUGCUGGAGUCAUCCUAUACCUUAAGAUGGCUUAUGGAAACUCAGACAGAUUGGUUUGUACACCAUGGUGUGCCCUCAUGGUUCCUCGGAGUCAUCCCCAGAAAUGCCCUGUCCAUGCUUCCUGACUGAGGAGUUACAUAAUGGAUGGUUCAUUAUUUCAGGAAAGAUUACAAAAUAUAAGACAUUGGAAGACUUGGUGAACUUUCGUAAACAUAAUUCUAUCAGACCUUACAAUUAACUGUUAAUCCAACCAUGUGGAUAGGUAAAUCAAGUAGGAAUGUGCAUCAUCUUUUGUUUUUGCCCUAGAGUCGAGUACUGUAACUGUAUUUUACUUAUUAUGCAGAAACAAUAUAAACUGCUCCUGGGUCUAUGAACAUAAGGAAGAAAUGAUAUUGUUGCAGCUUUCAGUAAUCAUACAGUGCCGCUGGCUGGGUGAUACAGGUGGUGCUACUAAUGUGUGGUUGAUGCUUAUUAAAAUCCUAGAUAACUUUAUUCUGAGUCAACCUCUCCGGACGCUGCUCCACUUAAGUGACACACAGGAGGGCAGUUGAGUGCUGAGAAACCGCAGACCUGCAGUAGCAAAGGCUGGAUACAGAAAUAGAGUUUGAAAAGAGAUGCAGGACUAGGAAUUCCCCUCCCUUGAUCCCUCAGACAGGCUUUUAAAGUUGUUUUAUUAAUGAGAAAAUGAGCUAAUAUGUGGUGCUCAGCAUUCCGGGCUGCAUCCCUGCUUUCAUUUUCUAAUGUUAACUUGAGCCAUUAUUUAUAUUCAGGGUCCCCAGUAUUCAGUGAUGCUGUAGCAAUGGAAUUUGCCAUGGAAUUAUGCUCCAGAAUCACUUUUUUUUAAUUAAAAAAAAAAUGGGAAGCAAUUGUAAUAAAUGCAGUGAUGUCUGCCUGAGUCUGCAGACAGGCUGAACCAGUAGCUGUAAGGAGGAUGUGAACUGCCCCAUUCAUCUCAACAAUGUUUAUCAAAACCUAACAAUUAUAAUUUGUCAAUUUUAAAAAAUAUUUAAUUGGCCACUUUAACAGAAACAUGCAGCAAACAUGCUUAUCCCACAGCCCUAAACAACCUUCCAUAAUUCCCCAGCUGUCCCCUAACCAGCUCCCCAAACCCCCAGCUUCACUCCUGACAACUUCUGCAAAGCAAUUAAGCAUUUUCAAUACAAAAUUUUGCAGCACAUCAAAAAUUUACCAUCCUUGCAUUUUUAAAUUAAUGAAAUUUAAUACCAAAUUAAAUAACACAAGAACGUUGUUCCAAUUGAAUUAUUCAUUUUCACAUAUAAUUCUGUAAAAAAAAAAAAAAAAAAAAAUCCAAUUUUACAUAUAUCUGAAACAAAGACCAAAUUUUCAGUCUGCUGCACUAGAACACCGCAGAUUCCAGGCUCAGGUUCCUUGACAUCCUGCAGGUCACAUAGGGUCCUGUUCAUAGCCUUACUCACUGUUGUCUAUUUUUUUUCUUUUCAGGAGAGUAAUUAAAAUACUGAUUAUGAAGAACUGUUUUCUCACAGAGUUAUUUUAAAUAAUUAUAUGAGUUGUGCAAAUCUCUUAGUGGCCUUGCUCCCUGAGAAUCUGACUGAAACCAGCGGCUGCAUUUCAGGGUCCACGCUAGCACAGCAAACUAUUCCAGGAAACAGAACAACAAUGCAACUUAAUCUUCCAGCAGAUCAGGAAGCUCCCCCACUCCCACCCAGGACAGUGGCACCCAAAUGAUCCUUCAACAUUAGUGACAAAGAACCUUCUUCAAUACAAACUGAUCGUCCUAGCUGCAGUUUGAAUGGACUUUAUGCUCCAGUUACAGAAGAAAUGAAGUCUGAGUCAAAUAGAUCUAUAACCCCAAGCAAAGUAAUUCUGAAAGCAGAUGAUAAUGACAUUGCAGACUCAAGAUGCAGCUCUCAUCUCUCUCUCUCUCUUUCACCAGAUUCAGAUUCGAAUGUGAAAUGUACUAUUUACCAAAAAAAAAAAAAAUCAGUUAUGUGUGGCUUUUCAUCUGUAGAUCUAAAAACACUUCACUAAGGCUGAAUAAACUAACAGCUGAAAGCCAAAUGCUAGGACUGUGUUGCAAGUUGAUGAUUGUUUCAUAGACACAUUUUUUGGUACCUCGUAUUUUUGUGUAACUGAAACACUUCAUAGGAUAAGACAGAAAUCAGAAACUGAGUCUGGAGAGAAAAGUAUAAUUGAGUGUAUGCUGAAUAGUAGUAUUUAUGAACGGUAAUUCAGUAUAGUGUGUGACAGAGAUCCAGUCAUCCUUAACUUGGGCACACUUUAUUUUAUUUUCUGGUUUGGGGAUAAGAAUUUAAAAUGCUGAAGUUUGAAGAAUCUUAUGAUAUAAUUAAAAUUUCUUUAAUUUUAAAAGACUGUUUCCGUUGCAGUGUUGCCAACUCUUCCAAAUCUAUCAUGAGUCUCUCAGUAUUUUGUAAAUCCCAUCUCCUGGAGUCAUGAGAUUAUGUGAGAAUCUCCUCUCUCUCUCUCUCUAUAUAUAUAUA